UCUCAACCACUGCGCCACCAGGGAAGCCCUGGAUAUAGUUUUCUUAUACCAGUUUUUCCUUCCUUAGAUCAAAGUUGCUCAUGCUGUGUUAAUAUCACAAGGUCAACGCUGAGGGUUGUUCAAGCUUCCUACUCCUCUUCCAGUCAACAAAUCAAAAGCAAGUCUUUAUCAGGAACCGUAUCUUUGCUCUGUCACCUGCA